rnacentral:rRNA from 1 species
GAUGAACGCUGGCGGCGUGCCUAAUACAUGCAAGUCGAGCGAACGGACGAGAAGCUUGCUUCUCUUAUGUUAGCGGCGGACGGGUGAGUAACACGUGGAUAACCUACCUAUAAGACUGGGAUAACUUCGGGAAACCGUAGCUAAUACCGGAUAAUAUUUUGAACCGCAUGGUUCAAAAGUGAAAGACGGUCUUGCUGUCACUUAUAGAUGGAUCCGCGCUGCAUUAGCUAGUUGGUAAGGUAACGGCUUACCAAGGCAACGAUGCAUAGCCGACCUGAGAGGGUGAUCGGCCAUACUGGAACUGAGACACGGUCCAGACUCCUACGGGAGGCAGCAGUAGGGAAUCUUCGGCAAUGGGCGAAAGCCUGACGGAGCAACGCCGCGUGAGUGAUGAAGGUCUUCGGAUCGUAAAACACUGUUAUUAGGGAAGAACAUAUGUGUAAGUAACUGUGCACAUCUUGACGGUACCUAAUCAGAAAGCCACGGCUAACUACGUG